rnacentral:rRNA from 1 species
CCGGGUUGCGGACAGUGUCUGGUGGGUAGUUUGACUGGGGCGGUCUCCUCCUAAAGAGUAACGGAGGAGCACGAAGGUUGGCUAAUCCUGGUCGGACAUCAGGAGGUUAGUGCAAUGGCAUAAGCCAGCUUGACUGCGAGCGUGACGGCGCGAGCAGGUGCGAAAGCAGGUCAUAGUGAUCCGGUGGUUCUGAAUGGAAGGGCCAUCGCUCAACGGAUAAAAGGUACUCCGGGGAUAACAGGCUGAUACCGCCCAAGAGUUCAUAUCGACGGCGGUGUUUGGCACCUCGAUGUCGGCUCAUCACAUCCUGGGGCUGAAGUAGGUCCCAAGGGUAUGGCUGUUCGCCAUUUAAAGUGGUACGCGAGCUGGGUUUAGAACGUCGUG